rnacentral:rRNA from 1 species
GAUGAACGCUGGCGGCGUGCCUAAUACAUGCAAGUCGAGCGAACGGACGAGAAGCUUGCUUCUCUGAUGUUAUCGGCGGACGGGUGAGUAACACGUGGAUAACCUACCUAUAAGACUGGGAUAACUUCGGGAAACCGGAGCUAAUACCGGAUAAUAUUUUGAACCGCAUUGUUCAAAAGUUAAAUGCGGUCUUGCUGUCACUUAUAGAUGGAUCCGCGCUGCAUUAGCUAGUUGGUAAGGUAACGGCUUACCAAGGCAACGAUGCAUAGCCGACCUGAGAGGGUGGUCGGCCAGACUGGAACUGAGACACGGUCCAGACUCCUACGGGAGGCAGCAGUAGGGAAUCUUACGCAAUGGGCGAAAGCCUGACGGAGCAACGCCGCGUGAGUGAUGAAGGUCUUCGGAUCGGAAAACUCUGUUAGUAGGGAAGAACAAAUGUGUAAGUAACUGUGCACAUCUUGACGGUACCUAAUCAGAAAGCCACGGCUAACUACGUG